rnacentral:rRNA from 1 species
GGGUCAGUAGGUUGGUCGUGCCACCGGUACGUACUGGUCCCACUGAUUCCUCCUUCCUGAAGAACCGUAAUGCCAUUAAUUUGGCGUUGCGGGGAAACAGGACUGUUACUUUGAAAAAAUUAGAGUGUUUAAAGCAAGCUAACGCUUGAAUACAUUAGCAUGGAAUAAUGAAAUAGGACGAUCGAUCCUAUUUUGUUGGUUUCUAGGAUUGACGUA